CGGUAAUACGUAGGGUGCGAGCGUUGUCCGGAUUCACUGGGUGUAAAGGGAGCGCAGGCGGGUUGGCAAGUCAUUGGUGAAAUUCUCAGGCUCAACUUGAGAACGUACAAUGAUACUGCUGAUCUUGAGUGCGGAAGAGAAAGACGGAAUUCCUGGUGUAGCGGUGAAAUGCGUAGAUAUCAGGAAGAACACCGGUGGCGAAGGCGGUCUUUUGGUCCGUUACUGACGCUCAUGCUCGAAAGCGUGGGGAGCAAACAGGAUUAGAUACCCUGGUAGUCCACGCCCUAAACCAUGGAUACUCGAUGUCGGCCCGCAAGGGUCGGUGUCUAAGCUAACGCAUUAAGUAUCCCACCUGGGGAGUACGAUCGCAAGGUUGAA
rnacentral:rRNA from 1 species